rnacentral:rRNA from 1 species
CUACGGGUCGCAGCAGUGGGGAAUAUUGCACAAUGGGCGCAAGCCUGAUGCAGCCAUGCCGCGUGUAUGAAGAAGGCCUUCGGGUUGUAAAGUACUUUCAGUGGGGAGGAAGGGAGUAAAGUUAAUACCUUUGCUCAUUGACGUUACCCGCAGAAGAAGCACCGGCUAACUCCGUGCCCGCGGCCGCGGUAAUACGGAGGGUGCAAGCGUUAAUCGGAAUUACUGGGCGUAAAGCGCACGCAGGCGGUUUGUUAAGUCAGAUGUGAAAUCCCCGGGCUCAACCUGGGAACUGCAUCUGAUACUGGCAAGCUUGAGUCUCGUAGAGGGGGGUAGAAUUCCAGGUGUAGCGGUGAAAUGCGUAGAGAUCUGGAGGAAUACCGGUGGCGAAGGCGGCCCCCUGGACGAAGACUGACGCUCAGGUGCGAAAGCGUGGGGAGCAAACAGGAUUAGAUACCCCAGUAGUC